GACGUAGGAUGCAAGCGUUGUCCGGAUUUAUUGGGCGUAAAGAGUUCGUAGGCGGUUCGUUAAGUCUGAUGUUAAAGACUGGGGCUCAACCCCGGGAGUGCAUUGGAUACUAUUCGGCUUGAGGUUUGGAGGGGGGACUGGAAUUCUCGGUGUAGCAGUGAAAUGCGUAGAUAUCGAGAGGAACACCAGUGGCGAAGGCGAGUCCCUGGACAAAUCCUGACGCUGAGGCACGAAAGCUA
rnacentral:rRNA from 1 species